UCUGGUUGAUCCUGGCGGAGGUUACUGCUAUCGAGGUUCGACUAAGCCAUGCGAAUCGAAUGUAGCAAUACAUGGCGUACUGCUCAGUAACACGUGGACAACCUACCCUUAGGUCGGGGAUAAACCCGGGAAACUGGGUAUAAUACCCGAUAGUCCUCGAAUGCUGGAAUGCAUCGAGGUCUAAAGCUCCGGCGCCUAAGGAUGGGUCUGCGGCCUAUCAGGUAGUAGUGGGUGUAGCGUACCUACUAGCCUACGACGGGUACGGGUUGUGAGAGCAAGAGCCCGGAGAUGGAUUCUGAGACACGAAUCCAGGCCCUACGGGGUGCAGCAGGCGCGAAAACUUUACAAUGCUGGCAACAGCGAUAAGGGGACCUCGAGUGCCAGGUUACAAAUCUGGCUGUCGUGAUGCCUAAAAAGCAUUGCAUAGCAAGGGCCGGGCAAGACCGGUGCCAGCCGCCGCGGUAACACCGGCGGCUCGAGUGGUAACCGUUAUUAUUGGGUCUAAAGGGUCUGUAGCCGGCCGGAUAAGUCUCUUGGGAAAUCUGGCAGCCUAACUGUCAGGCUUUCAGGAGAUACUGUCUGGCUCGAGGCCGGGAGAGGUGAGAGGUACUUCAGGGGUAGGGGUGAAAUCUUGUAAUCCUUGAAGGACCACCAGUGGCGAAGGCGUCUCACCAGAACGGACCUGACGGCAAGGGAC
rnacentral:rRNA from 1 species